rnacentral:rRNA from 1 species
CACCGCGGUUAUACGAGAGGUCCAAGUUGAUAGACACCGGCGUAAAGGGUGGUUAUGGAUCUACCCCCCCCCCUAAAGUCGAACACCCCCCACGCCGUUAUACGCGCCCGGAGGCACGAAGCCCCAUCACGAAAGUGACUUUACCCCCCUCCCCGAACCCACUACAGCUAUGGAA